rnacentral:rRNA from 1 species
ACGGCCGUACCAUGCUGAAUAUACCGGUUCUCGUUAGAUCACCGAAGUCAAGCAUCAUUGGCCGCGGCCAGUACUUGGGUGGGUGGCCACCUGGGAACACCACGUGCCGUU